AGCAGCCGCGGUAAUUCCAGCUCCAAUAGCGUAUAUUAAAGUUGUUGCAGUUAAAAAGCUCGUAGUUGAAUUUCGGGAUCAAUACGUCGGUCGUGCCUCUGGUAUGUACUGGUGUUAUUGAUUUCUCCUUUCUGAUGAAUCAUGAUGUCAUUAAUUUGGUGUUGUGUGGAGUCAGGACUGUUACUUUGAAAAAAUUAGAGUGUUUAAAGCAGGCUCACGCCUGAAUACAUUAGCAUGGAAUAAUGAAAUAGGACGUUCGAUCCUAUUUUGUUGGUUUCUAGGAUCAACGUAAUGAUUAAUAGGGAUAGUUGGGGGCAUUAGUAUUCAAUUGUCAGAGGUGAAAUUCUUGGAUUUAUUGAAGACUAACUACUGCGAAAGCAUUUGCCAAGGAUGUUUUCAUUAAUCAAGAACGAAAGUUAGGGGAUCGAAGACGAUCAGAUACCGUCGUAG
rnacentral:rRNA from 1 species